CCUACGGGGGGCAGCAGUGGGGGAUAUUGCACAAUGGGGGAAACCCUGAUGCAGCGACGCCGCGUGGGCGAAGAAGUAUUUCGGUAUGUAAAGCCCUAUCAGCAGGGAAGCAGGAGGACGGUACCUGACUAAGAAGCCUCGGCUAACUACGUGCCAGCAGCCGCGGUAAUACGUAGGGGGCAAGCGUUAACCGGAUUUACUGGGUGUAAAGGGGGCGCAGACGGGAGCGCAAGCCAGGAGUGAAAGCCCGGGGCCCAACCCCGGGAGUGCUCUUGAAACUGCGCGGCUGGAGUGCAGGAGGGGCAGGCGGAAUUCGUGGUGUAGCGGUGAAAUGCGUAGAUAUCAGGAGGAACACCGGUGGCGAAGGCGGCCUGCUGGACUGCGACUGACGUUGAGGCCCGAAAGCGUGGGGAGCGAACAGGAUUAGAUACCCGAGUAGUC
rnacentral:rRNA from 1 species